rnacentral:rRNA from 1 species
UUAAAGAGCAUAUGAGAUUUUACAGGUUUGCUGUCAGUAGCCAUUCAUGUGUUUAAAAUGGGGACACUUUUUUCGAAUGGUCACAAAAUCUUCUACACUUUGAGUUUUUAGCUGAAUGGUUUUGGGCAUGCCAAUAAAAAUACGAGGAUCAUUUCGACCAAAUUUGGGGCCAAAACUCUUUCUAAAAAAAUUUAAAAAAAUCUCGAACCAUAAAAAUUUUAAAAAUCAUGAAAAGUAGAAAAUGAGUCAUCUUGCUGUGAAACUUCACGUGAAGGCUUAGGGGACCAUUGUAUGAAUUUACAAGCCAUAAAAAUGGCAUUGGCAUGGUAGAAAUAUGAAGAUGUGCCUAAACCCACCUACCACCGGAUCGUGGCACGCAUGGUGCUCAGCUCGGGCUCAGGAUACCCGCGCCUGGUGUGCGGGUGCUGGGGAGUUCUCAUGUGAAUUCACAGGCCAUAAAAAUGGUAUUGGCAUGAUAGAAAUAUGAGGAUGUGCCUAAACCCACCUACCACUUAGUCAUGGCGCGUAUGGGUGCUCAGCUCGGGCUUAGGACACCUGUGGGCGUUGGGGAGGGCUCAUAUGAAUUUAUGGGCCACAAAAAUGGCUUUGGCAUACGGAGUUCAUACCCAGUGUAAGCUUUGAUCAGAUCGAUGGUUGUGGUAGUAGAACCCACAGCAGGAUCGACAGCACACAGAGGGGAACCCGAUCGAUCCUUAUCUUACGCAUCCUGCCUCUCUGGUCGGCAUAGUGCCCGACUGCUUAUUUCAUAAGUUGACUUAGGCAUAUGGGGUUCAUUCCUAGUCUAAGCUCAGAUCAGAUCGAGGGUUGUGGUAGUAGGACCCAUAGCAGGAUUGGUAGCACGUAGAGGGGGAUCGAACCAAUCCUCAGCUUGCGCAUCCUACCUCUCUAGCUGGCUCAGUGCCCGCACGCUCGUUUUGUAGGUUGACUUAGGCAUACAGAGUUCAUUCCUAGUCUAAGCAUACGGAGUUCAUUCCUAGUCUAAGCUCAGAUCAGAUCAAGGGUUAUGGCAACAGGACCCGUAGGAGGAUCGACCGUACGCAGAGGGGGAUCAGAUCGAUCCUUAGCUUGCACAUUCUACCUCUCUAGCCAGCUCAGUGCCCGUAUGCUUUUUUGUAACCUCAGGAAAAGGAUUGGCUUUGAAGGUUAGGCAUGGGGGUCCCAGUCCCAAACUCAUCGGUUGUCGAUGCACUGCUCAAGCUACUCCCACGGUGGGAGUAGGUCAUCGCGUGUCGAUCGGGGGAUGAACUGAGAACGGCUCCCUCGGGGGCCUUCUUCGGACGAUGAACAGUCGACUCAGAAUUGGUAUGGACAAGGGGAAUCUGAUUGUUUAAUUAAAACAAAGCAUUGUGAUGUCCCUACGGAUGCUCACGCAAUGUGAUUUUUACUAGUGCUUUGAAUGUCAAAGUAAAGAAAUUCAACCAAGCGCGAGUAAACGGCAGGAGUAACUAUGACUCUCUUAAGGUAGCCAAAUGCCUCAUCAUCUAAUUAGUGACAUGCAUGAAUGGAUUAAUGAGAUUCCCAUUGUCUCUGUCUACUAUCUAGUGAAGCCAUAGCCAAGGGAAUGGGCUUGGUAGAAUCAGCAGGGAAAGAAGACCCUGUUAAGCUUGACUCUAGUCUGACUUUGUGAAAUGACUUGAGAGGUGUAGGAUAAGUGGAAGCCCCUUGGCAAAAUUGAAAUACCACUACUUUUAACGUUAUUUUACUUAUUUUAUGAAUUGGAGGUGGGGCAUGACCCCUUCUUUUGAACCUAAGGUCGACCUUGGUCGAUCGAUCCAGGCAGAAGACAUUGUUAGGUGGGGAGUUUGGUUGGGGUGGCACAUCUGUUAAAAGAUAACACAGGUGUCCUAAGACGAGCUCAAUGAGAAUAGAAAUCUCGUGUGGAACAAAAAGGUAAAAGCUCGUUUGAUUUUGAUUUCUAAUACGAAUACAAAUCAUGAAAGCCUUGCCAUUGAUCCUUUAGACGUUCGGGAUUUGAAGCUAGAGAUGUCAGAAAAGUUACCACAGGGAUAAUUGGCUUAUGGCAGCCAAGCGUUCAUAGCGAUGUUGCUUUUUUAUCCUUCGAUGUCAGCUCUUCCUAUCAUUGUGAAGUAGAAUUCACCAAGUGUUGGAUUGUUCACCCACCAAUAGGAAACGUGAGCUGGGUUUAGACCAUCAUGAGACAAGUUAGUUUUACCCUACUGAUGGUAGCGUCGUGAUAGUAAUUCAACCUAGUACGAGAAGAACCAUUGAUUCGUACAAUUGGUCAUCGCACUUGGUUAAAAAGCCAGUGGAGCGAAGCUACCAUGUGCUGGAUUAUGACUGAACACCUCUAAGCCAGAAUACGGGCUAAAAACAAGGCGUAUGCCCGUCGCCUGAUUAUCGACCCGCAAUAAGGGCCCAUGACCCCUAAGGGCACAUGUCGUAGGUGCAAUCCCCAUAGUGGAUGAGCCAAGUGGGCCUCCUUGGAGCUCAAUUCCCAUCGAGCGAAGGGUAGAAUCCUUUACAGAUGCCUUAAAUACGCGACAGGGUAUUGUAAGUAGCAGAGUGGCCUUGCUGCCACGAUCCACUGAGAUUCAACCCUUUGUCACUUCGAUUCAUCCCUCCCCCCUUC